GUGCCUAACACAUGCAAGUCGAGCGGGGAUGAUUGGGAAGCUUGCUUUCUGGUCAUUCUAGCGGCGGACGGGUGAGUAACGCGUGGCAACCUGCCUUUAACAGGGGGAUAACGCAUCGAAAGAUGUGCUAAUACCGCAUAAGACCACAUCUUCACAUGGAGGAGAGGUCAAAGGAGCAAUCCGGUUAAAGAUGGGCUCGCGUCCGAUUAGCUAGUUGGUGAGAUAACAGCCCACCAAGGCGACGAUCGGUAGCCGACCUGAGAGGGUGAUCGGCCACAUUGGAACUGAGAUACGGUCCAGACUCCUACGGGAGGCAGCAGUGGGGAAUAUUGGGCAAUGGGCGAAAGCCUGACCCAGCAACGCCGCGUGAGGGAAGAAGGGUUUCGGCUCGUAAACCUCUGUCCUAUGGGACG
rnacentral:rRNA from 1 species